rnacentral:rRNA from 1 species
GAUGAACGCUGGCGGCGUGCCUAAUACAUGCAAGUCGAGCGAACAGAUAAGGAGCUUGCUCCUUUGACGUUAGCGGCGGACGGGUGAGUAACACGUGGGUAACCUACCUAUAAGACUGGAAUAACUCCGGGAAACCGGGGCUAAUGCCGGAUAACAUUUAGAACCGCAUGGUUCUAAAGUGAAAGAUGGUUUUGCUAUCACUUAUAGAUGGACCCGCGCCGUAUUAGCUAGUUGGUAAGGUAACGGCUUACCAAGGCAACGAUACGUAGCCGACCUGAGAGAGUGAUCGCCCACAUUGGAACGGAGACGCGGCCCAGACGCCUGCGGGAGGCAGCAGUAGGGAAUGUUCCGCAAUGGGCGAAAGCCUGACGGAGCAACGCCGCGUGAGUGAUGAAGGUCUUCGGAUCGUAAAACUCUGUUAUUAGGGAAGAACAAAUGUGUAAGUAACUGUGCACGUCUUGACGGUACCUAAUCAGAAAGCCACGGCUAACUACGUG